GUCGAGCGCGCCCUUCGGGGUGAGCGGCGGACGGGUGAGUAACGCGUGGGAAUAUGCCCUUCUCUAAGGAAUAGCCUCUGGAAACGGAGAGUAAUACCUUAUACGCCCUUUGGGGGAAAGAUUUAUCGGAGAAGGAUUAGCCCGCGUUAGAUUAGGUAGUUGGUGGGGUAAUGGCCUACCAAGCCUACGAUCUAUAGCUGGUUUGAGAGGAUGAUCAGCCACACUGGGACUGAGACACGGCCCAGACUCCUACGGGAGGCAGCAGUAGGGAAUCUUAGACAAUGGGGGCAACCCUGAUCUAGCCAUGCCGCGUGUGUGAUGAAGGCCCUAGGGUCGUAAAGCACUUUCGCCAGAGAUGAUAAUGACAGUAUCUGGUAAAGAAACCCCGGCUAACUCCGUGCCAGCAGCCGCGGUAAUACGGAGGGGGUUAGCGUUGUUCGGAAUUACUGGGCGUAAAGCGCACGUAGGCGGAUUAGUAAGUUAGAGGUGAAAUCCCAGGGCUCAACCCUGGAACUGCCUUUAAUACUGCUAGUCUUGAGUUCGAGAGAGGUAAGUGGAAUUCCGAGUGUAGAGGUGAAAUUCGUAGAUAUUCGGAGGAACACCAGUGGCGAAGGCGGCUUACUGGCUCGAUACUGACGCUGAGGUGCGAAAGUGUGGGGAGCAAACAGGAUUAGAUACCCUGGUAGUCCACACCGUAAACGAUGAAUGCCAGACGUCAGCAAGUAUACUUGUUGGUGUCACACCUAACGGA
rnacentral:rRNA from 3 species